rnacentral:rRNA from 1 species
UACGUAGGGGGCAAGCGUUGUCCGGAUUUAUUGGGCGUAAAGAGCGUGUAGGCGGCUUUACAGGUCCGUUGUGAAAACUCGAGCUCAACCUGGAGACGCCACCCGGGACUGCUAUGGCUAGAGUCCGGUAGGGGAUCACGGAAUUCCUGGUGUAGCGGUGAAAUGCGCAGAUAUCAGGAGGAACACCGGUGGCGAAGGCGGUGAUCUGGGCCGG